UAGCAGAAAAAAGAAAAAAGGUGAAUGAGAAGAGGAAAUGGUAAAGGGUAUGAGUAUGUUGUUACUUAGAAGCUAAGAAGGGAAGAAGGUAUAAAUUAAAGAGGUGGGUGAGUGAUGAGAUGCAGUGCAUCCAGUGCCCACGGGAUUUCAAUUGAAUCCCGUCACAAAAUUCCAACGGCCUUUUCUUUUCUCCCCCAUAAUAAUAAUAGGAUGCAGUCACAUGGUUAUGAGCAUCCAAUGAAGGACACCCACGUGGGACCCCUAUCAUUAUAAC
rnacentral:lncRNA from 1 species